GAUGAACGCUGGCGGCGUGCCUAAUGCAUGCAAGCCGAACGGCCUGAUUUAUCAGGCAGUGGCGGACGGGUGAGUAACGCGUAAGAACUUACCCUAAAGUGGGGGACAACCUCGAGAAAUCGGGGCUAAUACCGCAUACGCUCCGCAAGGAGGAAAGCUACGGCGCUUUAGGAUGGGCUUGCGUCCGAUUAGCUAGUUGGUGAGGUAAUGGCUCACCAAGGCGACGACGGGUACGGGGCCUGAGAGGGUGUUCCCGCACACUGGGACUGAGAUACUGCCCAGACUCCUACGGGUGGCAG
rnacentral:rRNA from 1 species